rnacentral:rRNA from 1 species
AGCGGAGUGAUGGUGCUUGCACUAUCACUUAGCGGCGGACGGGUGAGUAAUGCUUAGGAAUCUGCCUAUUAGUGGGGGACAACAUUUCGAAAGGAAUGCUAAUACCGCAUACGUCCUACGGGAGAAAGCAGGGGAUCUUCGGACCUUGCGCUAAUAGAUGAGCCUAAGUCGGAUUAGCUAGUUGGUGGGGUAAAGGCCUACCAAGGCGACGAUCUGUAGCGGGUCUGAGAGGAUGAUCCGCCACACUGGGACUGAGACACGGCCCAGACUCCUACGGGAGGCAGCAGUGGGGAAUAUUGGACAAUGGGCGCAAGCCUGAUCCAGCCAUGCCGCGUGUGUGAAGAAGGCCUUAUGGUUGUAAAGCACUUUAAGCGAGGAGGAGGCUACUGAAGUUAAUACCUUCAGAUAGUGGACGUUACUCGCAGAAUAAGCACCGGCUAACUCUGUGCCAGCAGCCGCGGUAAUACAGAGGGUGCAAGCGUUAAUCGGAUUUACUGGGCGUAAAGCGCGCGUAGGCGGCUAAUUAAGUCAAAUGUGAAAUCCCCGAGCUUAACUUGGGAAUUGCAUUCGAUACUGGUUAGCUAGAGUGUGGGAGAGGAUGGUAGAAUUCCAGGUGUAGCGGUGAAAUGCGUAGAGAUCUGGAGGAAUACCGAUGGCGAAGGCAGCCAUCUGGCCUAACACUGACGCUGAGGUGCGAAAGCAUGGGGAGCAAACAGGAUUAGAUACCCUGGUAGUCCAUGCCGUAAACGAUGUCUACUAGCCGUUGGGGCCUUUGAGGCUUUAGUGGCGCAGCUAACGCGAUAAGUAGACCGCCUGGGGGAGUACGGUCGCAAGACUAAAACUCAAAUGAAUUGACGGGGGCCCGCACAAGCGGUGGAGCAUGUGGUUUAAUUCGAUGCAACGCGAAGAACCUUACCUGGUCUUGACAUAGUAAGAACUUUCCAGAGAUGGAUUGGUGCCUUCGGGAACUUACAUACAGGUGCUGCAUGGCUGUCGUCAGCUCGUGUCGUGAGAUGUGGGUUAAGUCCCGCAACGAGCGGCACCUUUUCCUUAUUUGCAGCGA